rnacentral:misc_RNA from 1 species
GAUGAAGAACGUAGCGAAAUGCGAUACGUAAUGUGAAUUGCAGAAUUCAGUGAAUCAUCGAGUCUUUGAACGCACAUUGCGCCCUCUGGUAUUCCGGAGGGCAUGCCUGUCCGAGCGUCAUUGCUGCCCUCAAGCACGGCUUGUGUGUUGGGCCCCGCCCCCCGAUCCCGGGGGGCGGGCCCGAAAGGCAGCGGCGGCACCGCGUCCGGUCCUCGAGCGUAUGGGGCUUUGUCACCCGCUCUGUAGGCUCGGCCGGCGCUUGCCGAUCAACCAAACUUUUUUCCAGGUUGACCUCGGAUCAGGUAGGGAUACCCGCUGAACUUAAGCAUAUCAAUAAGCGGAGGA